rnacentral:rRNA from 1 species
CGGAGGGAUCAUUACACAAAUAUGAAGGCGGGCUGGAACCUCUCGGGGUUACAGCCUUGCUGAAUUAUUCACCCUUGUCUUUUGCGUACUUCUUGUUUCCUUGGUGGGUUCGCCCACCACUAGGACAAACAUAAACCUUUUGUAAUUGCAAUCAGCGUCAGUAACAAAUUAAUAAUUACAACUUUCAACAACGGAUCUCUUGGUUCUGGCAUCGAUGAAGAACGCAGCGAAAUGCGAUAAGUAGUGUGAAUUGCAGAAUUCAGUGAAUCAUCGAAUCUUUGAACGCACAUUGCGCCCUUUGGUAUUCCAAAGGGCAUGCCUGUUCGAGCGUCAUUUGUACCCUCAAGCUUUGCUUGGUGUUGGGCGUCUUGUCUCUAGCUUUGCUGGAGACUCGCCUUAAAGUAAUUGGCAGCCGGCCUACUGGUUUCGGAGCGCAGCACAAGUCGCACUCUCUAUCAGCAAAGGUCUAGCAUCCAUUAAGCCUUUUUUUCAACUUUGACCUCGGAUCAGGAG